GACGAACGCUGGCGACGUGCCUAACACAUGCAAGUCAACUUGACUGAAGGAGCAAUCUGACAGUAGAGUGGCGCAAAGGGUGCGUAACGCGUAAGUAACUUGCCCAAGGUAAGGAAUAACGUCGAGAAAUCGGCGCUAAUACCUCAUAAUGCAGCGGAUCCGCAUGGAUAUGUUGUUAAAGGUUUACCGCCUUGGGGAUAGGCUUGCGUCUGAUUAGUUAGUUGGUGUGGUAACGGCACACCAAGGCUACGAUCAGUAACUGGUCUGAGAGGAUGAUCAGUCACACUGGAACUGAGACACGGUCCAGACUCCUACGGGAGGCAGCAGUGAGGAAUAUUGGGCAAUGCUCGAAAGAGUGACCCAGCAACGCCGCGUGGAGGAUGAAGGUAUUCAUAUCGUAAACUCCUGUGAGAGCAGACGAAGACAGAUUAUUAAUCUGGAUGACUGUAUGCUCAGAGGAAGCCCC
rnacentral:rRNA from 1 species